AUGGCGGUGACGGAUUCCUUGGCCUUGGUGAUUUCGUCAUUCACCUCCACGCCUGACAGCAGUUUGUACGUCGAGUCCACCUUCACGAAGCUCCCUCCGUUGGCCGCCGGCUCCACCUUGAUGUGCGACGUCGCGGUCUCGAUCGCCGUGCCGAUGCCGCCGCCCUCGCAAAGGGUCGACUUGCACUCGCACUUGUCCGCGUCCAGGAACUCGAGCCUCUCCUUCACGAGGGUAAAGGGCAUGGCUGCAAGAGCAAAGAAUCGCGUGUUAUGCCGCUGCCUGACUGAGGUGACAUGCAUGGAUUGUAUGUGA
rnacentral:rRNA from 1 species